rnacentral:rRNA from 1 species
UACGUAGGCAGCGAGCGUUGUUCGGAGUUACUGGGCGUAAAGAGUGCGUAGGCGGUUUUCUAAGUUUGGUGUGAAAUCUCCCGGCUUAACUGGGAGGGUGCGCCGAAAACUGGAAGGCUUGAGUAUGGGAGCGGUAAGCGGAAUUCCUGGUGUAGCGGUGAGAUGCGUAGAUAUCAGGAGGAACACCUGCGGUGUAGACGGCUUACUGGACCAUAACUGACGCUGAGGCACGAAAGCGUGGGUAGCAAACAGG